ACCUACUGUUUAAUUUUGAGGGUUCGUUUUUACGAAUACUCAAAAUUAGCACUUUAAGCAACGGAAUUUAUUCGUUGGCGCUGUGCGUUAGCACUUUAAGCAACGGGAUUUAUCCGUUGGCGCUGUGCGUUAGCACUUUGAAAACUGCAUAUAUAUUUAGUGAUAUGACAUCUAAUUUGUAAUAUAUAAAGCUGAUAACUUUUAAAAUUAUCGAAGUUGAUAGCUUCUAAUCUAUCAAACCUUUUUAACUGGUCAA
rnacentral:misc_RNA from 1 species